GAUGAACGCUGGCGGCGUGCCUAAUACAUGCAAGUCGAGCGAAUGGAUUAAGAGCUUGCUCUUAUGAAGUUAGCGGCGGACGGGUGAGUAACACGUGGGUAACAUGCCCAUAAGACUGGGAUAACUCCGGGAAACCGGGGCUAAUACCGGAUAACAUUGUGAACCUCAUGGUUCGAAAUUGAAAUGCGGCUUCGGCUGUAACUUAUGGAUGGACCCGGGUCGCAUUAGCUAGUUGGUGAGGUAACGGACCACCAAGGCAACGAGGCGUAGCCGAGCUGAGACAGUGCUAGGCCACACUGGGACUGAGACACGGCCCAGACUCCUACGGGAGGCAGCAGUAGGGCAUCUUCCCAAAGAGACGAAAGUCUGACGGAGCAACGCCGCGUGAGUGAUGGAGGCUUUCGGGUCGUAAAACUCUUUUGUUAGGGAAGAACAAGUGCUAGUUGAAUAAGCUGUCACCUUGACGGUACCUAACCAGAAAGCCACGGCUAACUACGUGCCAGCAGCCGCAGUAA
rnacentral:rRNA from 1 species